AGAGUUUGAUCAUGGCUCAGGACGAACGCUGGCGGCGUGCUUAACACAUGCAAGUCGAACGAGAAUCUGUGAAUCGAGGAUUCGUCCAAGUGAAGCAGAGGACAGUGGCGGACGGGUGAGUAACGCGUGAGGAACCUGCCUUUCAGAGGGGGACAACAGUUGGAAACGACUGCUAAUACCGCAUGAUACGUUUUAGGGGCAUCCCUGAGACGUCAAAGAUUUAUCGCUGAAAGAUGGCCUCGCGUCUGAUUAGCUAGUUGGUGAGGUAACGGCCCACCAAGGCGACGUUCAGUAGCCGGACUGAGAGGUUGACCGGCCACAUUGGGACUGAGAUACGGCCCAGACUCCUACGGGAGGCAGCAGUGGGGAAUAUUGGGCAAUGGGCGCAAGCCUGACCCAGCAACGCCGCGUGAAGGAAGAAGGCUUUCGGGUUGUAAACUUCUUUUAAGAGGGAAGAGCAGAAGACUGUACCUCUAGAAUAAGCCACGGCUAACUACGUGCCAGCAGCCGCGGUAAUACGUAGGUGGCAAGCGUUGUCCGGAUUUACUGGGUGUAAAGGGCGUGCAGCCGGGAAUGCAAGUCAGAUGUGAAAUCCAUGGGCUUAACCCAUGAACUGCAUUUGAAACUGUAUUUCUUGAGUACUGGAGAGGCAAUCGGAAUUCCUAGUGUAGCGGUGAAAUGCGUAGAUAUUAGGAGGAACACCAGUGGCGAAGGCGGAUUGCUGGACAGCAACUGACGGUGAGGCGCGAAAGUGUGGGGAGCAAGCAGGAUUAGAUACCCUGGUAGUCCACACUGUAAACGAUGAAUACUAGGUGUGCGGGGACUGACCCCCUGCGUGCCGCAGUUAACACAAUAAGUAUUCCACCUGGGGAGUACGAUCGCAAGGUUGAAACUCAAAGGAAUUGACGGGGGCCCGCACAAGCGGUGGAUUAUGUGGUUUAAUUCGAAGCAACGCGAAGAACCUUACCAGGGUUUGACAUCCUGCUAACGAAGUAGAGAUACAUUAGGUGCCCUUCGGGGAAAGCAGAGACAGGUGGUGCAUGGUUGUCGUCAGCUCAUGUCGUGAGAUGUUGGGUUAAGUCCCGCAACGAGCGCAACCCUUAUCCUCAGUAGCCAGCAGGUCAAGCUGGGCACCCUGUGGAGACUGCCAGGGAUAACCUGGAGGAAGGUGGGGAUGACGUCAAAUCAUCAUGCCCCUUAUGAUCUGGGCUACACACGUGCUACAAUGGCGUAAACAAAGGGAGGCAAAGCCGCGAGGUGGAGCAAAUCCCAAAAAUAACGUCUCAGUUCGGACUGCAGUCUGCAACUCGACUGCACGAAGCUGGAAUCGCUAGUAAUCGCGAAUCAGAAUGUCGCGGUGAAUACGUUCCCGGGUCUUGUACACACCGCCCGUCACACCAUGGGAGUUGGUAACGCCCGAAGUCAGUGACCCAACCUUUUAGGAGGGAGCUGCCGAAGGCGGGACUGAUAACUGGGGUGAAGUCGUAACAAGGUA
rnacentral:rRNA from 1 species